UACGNAGGGUGCAAGCGUUAAUCGGAAUUACUGGGCGUAAAGCGCGCGUAGGCGGUUUUUUAAGUCGGAUGUGAAAGCCCCGGGCUCAACCUGGGAACUGCAUCCGAUACUGGAAGNCUAGAAUGCGGGAGAGGGAGGUAGAAUUCCAUGUGUAGCAGUGAAAUGCGUAGAUAUAUGGAGGAAUACCAGUGGCGAAGGCGGCCUCCUGGCUCGACAUUGACGCUGAGGUGCGAAAGCGUGGGGAGCAAACGGG
rnacentral:rRNA from 1 species